AACGCACAUUGCGCCCGCCAGUAUUCUGGCGGGCAUGCCUGUUCGAGCGUCAUUUCAACCAUCAAGCCCCGGGCUUGUGUUGGGGACCUGCGGCUGCCGCAGGCCCUGAAAACCAGUGGCGGGCUCGCUAGUCACUCCGAGCGUAGUAGUCUACACCUCGCUCAGGGCGUGCUGCGGGUUCCGGCCGUUAAAAGCCUUAUUUUACCCAAGGUUGACCUCGGAUCAGGUAGGAAGACCCGCUGAACUUAA
rnacentral:misc_RNA from 1 species